rnacentral:ncRNA from 2 species
UAAUCAUGAAGAGAGGCGCGAGGGACCUGGCCCUGAGACCGCCCGGCAGCCUGUUCCACAAGGUGCCAAAGCCAACCCGCAAGGGAAACCAUGAGGU